UACGUAGGGUGCGAGCGUUAAUCGGAAUUAUUGGGCGUAAAGCGCACGUAGGCGGCCAACUAAGUCAGACGUGAAAUCCCUCGGCUUAACCGGGGAACUGCGUCUGAUACUGGAUGGCUUGAGGUUGUGAGAGGGAUGCGGAAUUCCAGGUGUAGCGGUGAAAUGCGUAGAUAUCUGGAGGAACACCGGUGGCGAAGGCGGCAUCCUGGACCAAUUCUGACGCUGAGGAGCGAAAGCCAGGGGAGCAAACGGG
rnacentral:rRNA from 1 species